UACGAAGGGUGCAAGCGUUGUUCGGAUUUAUUGGGCGUAAAGCGCGCGUAGGCGGACCUGCAAGUCAGAUGUGAAAUCUCGGGGCUCAACCUCGAAACUGCGUCUGAAACUACAGGUCUAGAAUCUUGGAGGGGGAAGGGGAAUUUCUCAUGUAGGGGUAAAAUCCGUAGAUAUGAGAAGGAACACCAGAGGCGAAGGCGCCUUCCGUGGACAAGUAUGACGCUGAGGCGCGAAAGCGUGGGGAUCAAACAGG
rnacentral:rRNA from 1 species